rnacentral:rRNA from 1 species
AGAACGAACGCUGGCGGCAUGCCUAAUACAUGCAAGUCGAACGAACUCUUCGGAGUUAGUGGCGCACGGGUGCGUAACGCGUGGGAAUCUGCCCCUUGGUUCGGAAUAACAGUUGGAAACGACUGCUAAUACCGGAUGAUGACGAAAGUCCAAAGAUUUAUCGCCAAGGGAUGAGCCCGCGUAGGAUUAGCUAGUUGGUGAGGUAAAGGCUCACCAAGGCAACGAUCCUUAGCUGGUCUGAGAGGAUGAUCAGCCACACUGGGACUGAGACACGGCCCAGACUCCGUACGGGAGCAG